rnacentral:rRNA from 1 species
ACKGCUCAGUAACACGUGGACAACCUACCCUUGGGACGGGGAUAAACCCGGGAAACUGGGUAUAAUACCCGAUAGAUCUCGGAAGCUGGAAUGCAUCGAGAUCGAAAGCUCCGGUGCCCAAGGAUGGGUCUGCGGCCUAUCAGGUAGUAGUGGGUGUAGUGUACCUACUAGCCUACGACGGGUACGGGUUGUGAGAGCAAGAGCCCGGAGAUGGAUUCUGAGACACGAAUCCAGGCCCUACGGGGUGCAGCAGGCGCGAAAACUUUACAAUGCCGGCAACGGCGAUAAGGGAACCUCGAGUGCCAGGUUACAAAUCUGGCUGUCGUGAUGCCUAAAAAGCAUUGCAUAGCAAGGGCCGGGCAAGACCGGUGCCAGCCGCCGCGGUAACACCGGCGGCUCGAGUGGUAACCGUUAUUAUUGGGUCUAAAGGGUCUGUAGCCGGCCGGAUAAGUCUCUUGGGAAAUCUGGCAGCUUAACUGUCAGGCUUUCAGGAGAUACUGUCUGGCUCGAGGCCGGGAGAGGUGAGAGGUACUUCAGGGGUAGGGGUGAAAUCUUGUAAUCCUUGAAGGACCACCAGUGGCGUAGGCGUCUCACCAGAACGGACCUGACGGCAAGGGACGAAAGCUAGGGGCACGAACCGGAUUAGAUACCCGGGUAGUCCUAGCCGUAAACGAUGCAGGCUAGGUGUUUGGGCGGCCACGUGCCGCUCUAGUGCCGCAGGGAAACUGUUAAGCUUGCCGCCUGGGGAGUACGGUCGCAAGAUUGAAACUUAAAGGAAUUGGCGGGGGAGCAC